UUGACAGAAGAGAGUGAGCACACAGAGGCAUUCGAUAUAGACAAUUAUACCGUUACUUUUGCGUGCUCACUGCUCUUUCUGUCAA
rnacentral:pre_miRNA from 1 species